GAAAGCAAAGAUCUGCAGAUCAGUGGAGCUGCAAACUCAAACAGAUAAAAACUCAGCCAGAUUCAGCAUACAUAAGAAUCAUUCUUCUUGCAACAGUUGGAAACAGAAGAUUUCAUGUUCCAUGCUUUAACCCGACCGACCGACUCAGCACAACUCAUGUUCCAUGCUUUAACCCGACCGACGACUCAACUCCUCAUGCUACAAAGGUAGCACGAGGCGACGCAACUGACGACUCGCGCAGCUCAUCAUGCUACCAAGACAGCAUGAGACGACGCAACAGACUAGAGAGUAGCAGAAGAGAUGAAAUAAGGUGCCAGGUAACAUAAACCUCCUACGGUGACAGCGGACAGACAAGGUUACAACCAACAACACAUUGUAUAUAAGUCAACUACUGCUUCAAUGAAAUCUCCAAUGAAGAAUCAAUGCAACGAUCGAUCUGCUACGAAAGAAUGGGACCAAGGCACACACCCUCCCCAGGAAGAGAAGGCGGUGACAGCUUCCGUCGCGCUUAAUGCCAGAG
rnacentral:lncRNA from 1 species